AGGAAUAUGAAACAGAAAAACCGGAAAAGCAAGUUAGAAGUAUUUUACAGUGACCCACAAAUUUCAUUUUGUGGAUUCAGCAACAGCUUUUCAUAAACAAAAUGUUGUCAGACAGGAGCGGUUCAUUAAGGGUGAUGUGCUAAAAUUAAUCAAGUAGGGCUGUCCAUCAUCACGAGUCCUUCGCGUAGUUCAUCUUUACGGAGUUCAAGAAGUUCAUCUUUACGGAGUUCAAGAAGUUCAUAUUUACGGAGUUCAAGUACCAUGUUCACCAGGAGGAAGUUCUUCGGGCAAGAAAAUGCAUGGCAGAUUAAAUGCAGCUACGGAAACAUGGCUCCCACAAAGAGUAUCGAAAAGGUAAACAUGAACUUGAUGAUAACCAUGACGCCAGCCUAACGUUUAGAAAUGGGGCCAUACCUAAUAUUAAGGAAAUACGAGAAAAAAGAGAGAGAGAGAGAGAGAGGGCUUUUACGUAUAGGGAAAGAGAAUCAUAAUGAUCAAUGAAGAAAACUUGUUGUUGGCUGUGCAAGACUGAGGACUUAAGCAACACUGAGAUUCAAGUCAAAUCUAACGAAAGCGAAUAUCAGAUUAUUGGUCAAAAACUUCAAAGAAAAAAUUUUAGAUGAACAUCGUGUUCAUAAAGGGCAUCAUCACAGACUGUUAAAAAGAUUGAAGAGGCAAUUGAGCGUCAUUCUAAAAAUCUGUUUGUAGAUAAAAUAGAAAUUUUGGUGUUUCGAAGACAA